AUUUUAGAUCAUCAACGAAUACUACAGAAACGAUGACGAUAGAGAUAGUGAUGAAGAAACAGAUACAACUAACCAAUCAGAAGAAGCUGUUGGUCCAGUUGCUGGACACGGUGAAGGUGAUCCCCAGUCUAAAGCCCAUUACGAGUCGACACCAUUACAGUUUUGGACGAAGAGGGAGGCUGCUGCCCACUUGUUCCUUGACAACACACGUCUGAAAAGUUCAAAUGAAACUGUCUUGCCUGAUAUAGCUGGCGGAUAUCCAGAAGAAGUCGUGUUUGAAAUACACACCUCGGAUAAUAACUUCAUAAUUUCCUGUGACGUCACCAUAUACUUGGCUGUCCAUCAAGAAUCAGUCAAACGGCUCAUACCGUUAUAGAGAUUAUUGAAAAACAAAUUUUACAACAUUAUCACUUGAGUCAGAUAAAGAACGGAUACAGCUCUGUGAAUGAAUAAUCAGGAGAAACAGAACGAUUUGUGUCAAAGUGGCAAGAAAGAAAAAAAACUGUAGCUAUCGACGUAUAUAUUGAACAUUCUGUGUGAUAUAUGUCGAUAACGGGAUGGCAUGGACAAAAAUAAAACAACGAUUAUGGAUUUACCUUGUCCUCGUGUGUUUACCAUUCUUUUGCAACCACCCAACCCCAAUAUGUUUUAAUGAAUAAAGAACCCAUUUACAAAA